rnacentral:misc_RNA from 1 species
UCCCGCAAAGAGCUGCAAGCGACCAGGCGUAACACCAACCAUUGCAAUGGAACAUGGGCAAAGUCCACAGAUAAAUAGCUCCUUCAUUGAGACCCCAUAUCAUAGCACAACUUAACGCCAUGAGAUAUGCCCCCCGGUGGCUAAGCACUACCCCCUUGGGGCUGGCUGUUGUGCCGGAAGUAUAACCCAAAGCAAUACUCUGCCACUCAUCCUCUGGUGGUUUCCAAGCAAACUCAGGGUCACCGCUUUCCAGGAACUUGUCAUAUUCAAUGGCCCCUUUUCCCAGAGCAUCCUUGAGUGACUCGGGACGACAGCUUUUAUCAGAUAUAACAAUCAAUAGUGGAGGGUUAUAAUGGUUAUCAUUCUCUGCUAAGAUUUUCAAAGCAUUCUCUGCCAAGGAAAAGAACUCUUGAUCCACCAUCAAAAUUGCAGAUUUUGAAUGGCCCAGAAGGAAUGCGAUGGUUGAUGCGUUGAGACGAAUAUUGACAGUAUUUAACACUGCUCCAGCCAUUGGAACUCCAAAGUGAGCUUCGUACAGGGCCGGGACAUUUGGUGCAAUUAUUGCUACCGUGCUUCCAGCGCCGAUGUUGCGCCUGGAUAGAGCCGAGGCCAAUCGACGGCACCGUUGGUAGGUCUGCUCCCACGUAUAGUGAACUGAUCCAUGAACCACGGCUGUUCUGGUGGGGUGUACCGUAGCUGCUCUCUCCAGGAACCACAGCGGCGUCAAGGCCAUGUAGUUAGCAUCAAGCUUGGGAAGGUCAUCUAUGUCCCUCGCCAUCGUCUGCACCUACCUCUAUCUCUCUCUCUAAAGCUGGGAACCAAA